rnacentral:rRNA from 1 species
UACGGGGGGGGCAAGCGUUGUUCGGAAUUACUGGGCGUAAAGGGUUUGUAGGUGGCUUGCUAAGUCAGACGUGAAAUCCCUCAGCUUAACUGGGGAACUGCGUCUGAUACUGGUGAGCUUGAGUGCAGGAGAGGAACGCGGAAUUCCAGGUGUAGCGGUGAAAUGCGUAGAUAUCUGGAGGAACACCGGUGGCGAAGGCGGCAUCCUGGACCGGCAUUGACGCUGAGGCGCGAAAGCCAGGGGAGCAAACGGG